UGGACAGAGACAGAUGUGAUGUCUACAGGUCAGUACACAACUGGACAGAGACAGAUGUGAUGUCUACAGGUCAGUACACCACUGGACAGAGACAGAUGUAAUGUCUACAGGUCAGUACACCGCUGGACAGAGAGACAGAUGUGGUGUCUACAGGUCAGUACACCACUGGACAGAGAGAGAUGUGAUGUCUACAGGUCAGUACACCACUGGACAGAGACAGAUGUGGCGUCUACAGGUCAGUACACCACUGGACAGAGAGACAGAUGUGGUGUCUACAGGUCAGUACACCACUGGACAGAGAGACAGAUGUAGUGUCUACAGGUCAGUACACCACUGGACAGAGAGACAGAUGUGGUGUCUACAGGUCAGUACACCACUUGACAGAGAGACAGAUAGAUGUGAUGUCUACAGGUCAGUACACCACUGGACAGAGAGACAGAUGUGGUGUCUACAGGUCAGUACACCACUGGACAGAGAGACAGAUGUAGUGUCUACAGGUCAGUACACCACUGGACAGAGAGACAGAUGUGGUGUCUACAGGUCAGUACACCACUUGACAGAGAGACAGAUAGAUGUGAUGUCUACAGGUCAGUACACCACUGGACAGAGACAGAUGUGAUGUCUACAGGUCAGUACACCACUGGACAGAGAGACAGAUGUGGUGUCUACAGGUCAGUACACCGCUGGACAGAGAGAGAUGUGAUGUCUACAGGUCAGUACACCACUGGACAGAGAGACAGAUGUGGUGUCUACAGGUCAGUACACCACUGGACAGAGAGAGAUGUGGUGUCUACAGGUCAGUACACCACUGGACAGAGACAGAUGUGAUGUCUACAGGUCAGUACACCACUGGACAGAGAGACAGAUGUGAUGUCUACAGGUCAGUACACCACUGGACAGAGACAGAUGUGGCGUCUACAGGUCAGUACACCACUGGACAGAGAGACAGAUGUGGUGUCUACAGGUCAGUACACCACUGGACAGAGAGACAGAUGUAGUGUCUACAGGUCAGUACACCACUGGACAGAGAGACAGAUGUGGUGUCUACAGGUCAGUACACCACUUGACAGAGAGACAGAUAGAUGUGAUGUCUACAGGUCAGUACACCACUGGACAGAGACAGAUAUGAUGUCUACAGGUCAGUACACCACUGGACAGAGAGACAGAUGUGGUGUCUACAGGUCAGUACACCGCUGGACAGAGAGAGAUGUGAUGUCUACAGGUCAGUACACCACUGGACAGAGAGACAGAUGUGGUGUCUACAGGUCAGUACACCACUGGACAGAGAGAGAUGUGGUGUCUACAGGUCAGUACACCACUGGACAGAGACAGAUGUGAUGUCUACAGGUCAGUACACCACUGGACAGAGAGACAGAUGUG
rnacentral:lncRNA from 1 species